GGCCUUGCGGGGCGGUGGCGUCGGCAUCGUGACGAGGCUCCACGCGCGAUUCUUCUGUCGGGACCGAGGCAGACACGCCCGAGAUCUCCUCAACGCGCACACGGGGCCCGAUUCCACAGCACGGUAAAAAAAACCUCCACAAGUGAGAGGGAAUGAUGGCUUUGUUACUUCAGAAAUACACAAGGCGCUUGAAGGAUGAAGUAAAGCGUAAUUCCUUCUGUCCUCGGCCCUCAAAACCUUUCUGGUUCGGAGCGACGCGUAUUACAGUUAAGCCGGACAAUGCUGGAAAGAAAAGGCCGUGUUUCCAAACUUGUGCAUGAGGUGCAAAAGCAUAGAAAAUUUGUUACAAAUUACUUAGGCUUCACAAAAGUCAAGGAUCUCCUAUGUUUUCAAGUGACUGAUACCCUGAGAAUGUGUACGCCGCCGUGCUGGUUGCAGUUCACGUGAACCGCUUUUAUGAAGAGCGUGGCGUUGUAGCGUAUCUGUUAGCUUGCUUUAAUACUUCCCCGUUCGGCAGAACUUAGAAGCGCGCUCGUCGUCACUGCCUGCGCAUCCCGCCUGUAUUUCACCAGGUCCUGCCGCGGUAUCUUCACGUUAGUGGCCGUAAGAUUCAGGGAGUCCCGGAAAGCGUCUGCCUUGUACAACGGAACGGGAAUACACAAAACCUACCUGCAGGAGCGAAGCCGCGCGUUGGCGUUACAAGGGCUUCUAGAACUCAGGUACUUAAAAGCUCUGCGAUAUGCGCAUGCGAAAUACCUCUCAGCGCAGGAAGGCAAAGGAAGCUGGUUUGUUUUUUCUAGAAUAACUUCAGUUUGCCUUCCAAGGGUAGAUAUUUUUUUCUCUGACUGAGCAUUUAGGGAAGUAUGUUGGAAAACAUUUCUGAAACAUCGUUCAGUCAGUACUGUCCUCAGAAGCUAUCAACUGACUUCACGGCCGCCUAAGCCAGGUCAGUCGCUAGCGACUUAAAGCACACAACCCCAAACGAACUUUAGGACUGUCCUAUUUCAAGACUUCUUUUAUUUGUGCUUUAUCACUGACCACUUUUCGGCCAUCUCUUACUAGUGGUGCAUUAUAACACACUUUUACUUUCUUAACCUGUCUCCUACUGGUCAGACUUCUGUUUUCUUCUUAAAUUCAAUUUAAAUUUUAGAAGAAAGGGAGGAGUGUUUGCAUUAAUACAGUAUUGUCACACAAACUUUCCUUCUUUCUGAAAGAAGAAAAAAACCCAGGACGAUCAACAAUUCUAAAAGGCUUGAAGUGACGAAUAACUACUGCAGUUGCCUCACCUGCUGAGAGCUGUACGUCCGUAUGACGCUCUUGGUUGUGUAGAAGGGUACUUAUCUGAGAAAAUCAAUUGCAGUAACAGAGAAGUGGAGGUUAGCAAGCACCGACUUACACUUGAGGCUGCAAGACAAAUUCUUGGGUUGUCCGGUUAUGCCCAGAAGAUGGGCAAGGUCGGAGAGGAUUGUCCCAUUUGACUGGCUGUUCCUGUCACCACCAGGCUGCAGGGCUCCAGCAGUGAUUUAUUACAUGUAGGAAAGAAAGUUCAAAGAAAAUACAACGGCAAGUGAAAAAUGUAAAAAUACAGCUUGUAAUCUAAGGGCUGAAUCUGAGGAAACGUAGUGAGAAGUGUCCAAAGGUUAUAGGAGCUGAGUUUAACGGAACGUGAUAAUGCAAUUGGAAAUAGAAAUUAUAUUUGAUAGAUACUUAAGGGAAUGAACACAACGUGAAGACACGUGCAAAGGAUACAGUAGCACAAGCAGAAGUAGUUGGAAUCCAGGCAGGAGACCUGAAGAGGCUUUUGGACAUCCCUCCAUGUCCUGACCCUGGCUGCGAGUGUAAGUGUCAGAGUAAUUUUGUUUCUUGCUGUAGUUACUUGGUGCUUACCAGAAGAAGCCUCCAGGCUAGGCUGGUGGCCAGAGCAGCUGAAGAUGCAGACUUUAACCAAUUCCUCAAUAUCAAUGAUAUCAAAGAAUUUCCAGCUGGAAACAGCAUUUCCAGCCAUGGUGGUGGUACCUGGUCCAGAAUCAGGGCCAAAACAAUUUGUGAAGAGUUCAGAAACUGGAGUUUGGUGUGGGAGGGAAUUCAGUUAGAUAUGGGUAGGAAGAAGAGCAGAAAUACUCGCUCAGUGCCCAAGAUGGGUGAUGCAGGCAAACAUUUUUUAAGGCAAGGGAGCAAACAUCAGGUGGGAAGGAUAAUGUACCAGCAGAAGCUGGAACAAAUGUGAGCCGUUGCCUGCCUUGGGGUAAAGUCUGCAAUGACAGGGCUGAAAAAACUGGGGGGAAGGAUGGGACGGUGUGUGUAGAAAGCAGUCCUCAAAUGAUGGACAAGAUCUCGUUCUCGUUUAGUUCAGUGAGAGUUUUCAUGGUGGUUUGCACAGUACAAGAGCUGUUAACAGCGAGUGAGAAAGGAAAGAUGAGAAUAAUACAAAGUUUUUAUGAAAAGAUUGAUUUUAAAGGUAAAAACUCAAGCAGCAGGCAAGAAGGAGAAAAGGAGUCCUGAGCCCAUUUUCUUCCUGCCCGUACAGAGUGAGGGAGGUGAACAAAAUGAUACAGAAGAUCUGCCCAUCAAAAGUACACCCAUGUGCCUUCUUUGCAAGAGCAAGCAGAACGGAAAACUGGACUAGGAACGAGAGCCCUCCAGACACAUUCAGUCAUGACCUGAAAUUCACCAUGUACAUAACAAUUAACCACCUGUGCUGUUGCUAGACUCUGCCUUUCUUGCAUAAGAAGUUCUACCAUUAUUCUUAAAGGAAGGAUUUCCA